GAUGAACGCUGGCGGCGUGCCUAAUACAUGCAAGUCGAGCGAAGCGGGGACGGGUGAGUAACACGUGGAUAACCUCCUAUAAGACUGGGAUAACUUCGGGAAACCGGAGCUAAACCGGAUACUUAUCGAUGGAUCCGCGCUGCAUUAGCUAGUUGGUAAGGUAACGGCUGACCACGGCAACGAUGCAUAGCCGACCUGAGAGGUGGAGCGGCCACACUGGAACGUAGACACGGUCCAGACUCCUACGGGAGGCAGCAGUGGGUAAUCUUUCGCAAUGGGCGGAAGCCUGACGGAGCAACGCCAAGUGAGUGAUGAAGGUCUGCGGAUCGUAAAACUCUGUUAUUAGGGAAGCGGUACCUAAUCAGAAAGCCACGGCUAACUACGUGCCAGCAGCCGCGGUAAUUC
rnacentral:rRNA from 1 species